rnacentral:rRNA from 1 species
AAUGAACGUUGGCGGCGUGGAUUAGGCAUGCAAGUCGAGCGAGAACCCGCAAGGGGGACAGCGGCAAACGGGGUAGCAAUGUGUCGGAACGUGCCCUCUGGACGGGGAUAGCGGCGGGAAACUGCCGGUAAUACCCGAUGAACUCGAGAGAGCAAAGGUGUGAUUCCGCCGGAGGAGCGGCCGACAUGGUAUUAGCUAGUUGGCGGGGUAACGGCCCACCAAGGCUGUGAUGCCUAGGGGAUGUGAGAGCAUGAUCCCCACCAUUGGGACUGAGACACUGCCCAGACACCUACGGGUGGCUGCAGUCGAGAAUCUUCGUCAAUGGGCGAAAGCCUGAACGAGCGACGCCGCGUGCGGGAUGAAGGCCCUUGGGUUGUAAACCGCUGUCGAGGGGGAUGAAGGCAUUCAGGUACUCCUGAAUGUUUGACAGAGCCCUGGAGGAAGCACGGGCUAAGUUCGUGCCAGCCGCCGCGGUAAAAC